CUUCGGAAACAUGUACUAUGGCAACAACUAUGGAAGAGAUGGCAUUUCAGAAUGAAAGAGGAAACCAUAGUCAAUAAGCGGAAACGAUAUCAAAGGUUGAUUUCAAAGAAAGUAAAGUCAAAGUCGAAUCCCCAUGUAAAGACUCGGAUACGAAAAUAUUGGUAUCCGAUAGUCAUAGUUUCAGAACUUACGAUGGAAGCAAUAGGUUUCACCAUGCAGUGUGCAAUUUGGAGAUCAAGCCAAGAGAAGGUAUCCACGCACACAGUUCGCAUCAGAGCGAGAUCGAAUAUGAAGAAGGAAAAUAAUGGAUCUAAUAAUCCGUUAGCGAGUAAGGCUUAUCUGAGAAAAGCAUCGUCAAAUUCCUUUUGUAUCGUGUAUCUUUCUUACUAUAUGGCGCAUAAAUAUGCUUAUGUAAUAAUUUGCUUUUCGAAAGUUCUGUAACCUGACUUUGUAAUGUUGAUUUGAUAUCAAUGAAUUUAGAAG
rnacentral:lncRNA from 1 species